UUAUAAGAGACAGCAGUAGCCGCGGUAAUACGUAGGUGGCAAGCGUUGUCCGGAAUUAUUGGGCGCAAAGGGCUCGCGGGCGGUUUCUUAAGUCUGAUGUGAAAGCCCCCGGCUCAACCGGGGAGGGUCAUUGGAAACUGGGAAACUUGAGUGCAGAAGAGGAGAGUGGAAUUCCACGUGUAGCGGUGAAAUGCGUAGAGAUGUGGAGGAACACCAGUGGCGAAGGCGACUCUCUGGUCUGUAACUGACGCUGAGGAGCGAAAGCGUGGGGAGCAAGCAGGAUUAGAUACCCCUGUAGUCCCUGUCUCUUAUAC
rnacentral:rRNA from 1 species